rnacentral:rRNA from 1 species
UACGAAGGGGGCGAGCGUUGUUCGGAUUUACUGGGCGUAAAGGGCGCGCAGGCGGCUCAUUUUGUCAGGCGUGAAAGCCCCGGGCUUAACCUGGGACUGCGUUUGAUACGGAUGGGCUAGAGUUCGGGAGAGGAGAGUGGAAUUCCCAGUGUAGAGGUGAAAUUCGUAGAUAUUGGGAAGAACACCGGUGGCGAAGGCGGCUCUCUGGACCGAGACUGACGCUGAGGCGCGAAAAGCUGAGGGGAGCAAACGGG